UACGUAGGGUGCGAGCGUUAAUCGGAAUUACUGGGCGUAAAGCGCGUGUAGGCGGCAGGGCAAGUCGGAUGUGAAAGCCCACGGCUCAACCGUGGAAGUGCACCCGAAACUGCCCCGCUAGAGUCUCGGAGAGGAAGGUGGAAUGCUUGGUGUAGAGGUGAAAUUCGUAGAUAUCAAGCGGAACACCGGUGGCGAAGGCGGCCUUCGUGGACGAUGAC
rnacentral:rRNA from 1 species